GGUUCCCGUACGAUCACCGAAGUUUAAGCAACGUCGAGCCUGGUCAGUACCUAGAUGGGUGACCGCUUGGGGAAUACCAGGUACUGUAAG